rnacentral:rRNA from 1 species
GACGAACGCUGGCGGCGCGCCUAACACAUGCAAGUCGAACGAGCGAGAGAGAGCUUGCUUUCUCAAGCGAGUGGCGAACGGGUGAGUAACGCGUGAGGAACCUGCCUCAAAGAGGGGGACAACAGUUGGAAACGACUGCUAAUACCGCAUAAGCCCACAGCUCGGCAUCGAGCAGAGGGAAAAGGAGCAAUCCGCUUUGAGAUGGCCUCGCGUCCGAUUAGCUAGUUGGUGAGGUAAUGGCCCACCAAGGCAACGAUCGGUAGCCGGACUGAGAGGUUGAACGGCCACAUUGGGACUGAGACACGGCCCAGACUCCUACGGGAGGCAGCAGUGGGGAAUAUUGCACAAUGGGGGAAACCCUGAUGCAGCGACGCCGCGUGGAGGAAGAAGGUCUUCGGAUUGUAAACUCCUGUUGUUGAGGAAGAUAAUGACGGUACUCAACAAGGAAGUGACGGCUAACUACGUGCCAGCAGCCGCGGUAAAACGUAGGUCACAAGCGUUGUCCGGAAUUACUGGGUGUAAAGGGAGCGCAGGCGGGAAGACAAGUUGGAAGUGAAAUCUAUGGGCUCAACCCAUAAACUGCUUUCAAAACUGUUUUUCUUGAGUAGUGCAGAGGUAGGCGGAAUUCCCGGUGUAGCGGUGGAAUGCGUAGAUAUCGGGAGGAACACCAGUGGCGAAGGCGGCCUACUGGGCACCAACUGACGCUGAGGCUCGAAAGUGUGGGUAGCAAACAGGAUUAGAUACCCUGGUAGUCCACACCGUAAACGAUGAUUACUAGGUGUUGGAGGAUUGACCCCUUCAGUGCCGCAGUUAACACAAUAAGUAAUCCACCUGGGGAGUACGACCGCAAGGUUGAAACUCAAAGGAAUUGACGGGGGCCCGCACAAGCAGUGGAGUAUGUGGUUUAAUUCGACGCAACGCGAAGAACCUUACCAAGUCUUGACAUCCCUUGACGAACAUAGAAAUAUGUUUUCUCUUCGGAGCAAGGAGACAGGUGGUGCAUGGUUGUCGUCAGCUCGUGUCGUGAGAUGUUGGGUUAAGUCCCGCAACGAGCGCAACCCUUACUGUCAGUUACUACGCAAGAGGACUCUGGCAGGACUGCCGUUGACAAAACGGAGGAAGGUGGGGAUGACGUCAAAUCAUCAUGCCCUUUAUGACUUGGGCUACACACGUACUACAAUGGCGUUAAACAAAGAGAAGCAAGACCGCGAGGUGGAGCAAAACUCAGAAACAACGUCCCAGUUCGGACUGCAGGCUGCAACUCGCCUGCACGAAGUCGGAAUUGCUAGUAAUCGUGGAUCAGCAUGCCACGGUGAAUACGUUCCCGGGCCUU